CACGUAGGGUGCGAGCGUUGUCCGGAAUUAUUGGGCGUAAAGAGUUCGUAGGCGGCUUGUUGCGUCGUCCGUGAAAACCCGCAGCUCAACUGCGGGCUUGCGGACGAUACGGGCAGGCUGGAGUUCGGUAGGGGAGACUGGAAUUCCUGGUGUAGCGGUGAAAUGCGCAGAUAUCAGGAGGAACACCAAUGGCGAAGGCAGCUCGCUGGGACGUGACUGACGCUGAGACACGAAAGCGUGGGGAGCAAACAGG
rnacentral:rRNA from 1 species